rnacentral:rRNA from 1 species
CCUACGGGAGGCAGCAGUGAGGAAUAUUGGUCAAUGGGCGCGAGCCUGAACCAGCCAAGUAGCGUGAAGGAUGACUGCCCUACGGGUUGUAAACUUCUUUUAUAAAGGAAUAAAGUGAGGCACGUGUGCCUUUUUGUAUGUACUUUAUGAAUAAGGAUUGGCUAACCCCGUGCCAGCAGCCGCGGUAAUACGGGGGAGCCGAGCGUUAUGCGGAUUUAUUGGGUUUAAAGGGAGCGUAGAUGGGUUGUUAAGUCAGUUGUGAAAGUUUGCGGCUCAACCGUAAAAUUGCAAUUGAUACUGGCAGGCUUGAGUACAGUUGAGGUAGGCGGAAUGCGUGGUGUAGCGGUGAAAUGCUUAGAUAUCACGAAGAACUCCGAUUGCGAAGGCAGCUUACUAGACUGCCACUGACAUUGAUGCUCGAAAGUGUGGGUAUCAAACAGGAUUAGAUACCCGAGUAGUC